UACGUAGGUGGCAAGCGUUGUCCGGAUUUACUGGGCGUAAAGGGCGUGCAGGCGGUCUGUUAAGUGCAGGGUGAAAGCUCCCGGCUCAACUGGGAGAGGUCCUUGCAUACUGGCGGACUUGAGGGGGGUAGAGGAAAGUGGAAUUCCCGGUGUAGUGGUGAUAUGCGUAGAUAUCGUAAGGAAGACCAGUGGCGAAGGCGGGUCUCUGGACAGUUCCUGACGCUGAGGCACGAAGGUCAGGGGAGCAAACGGG
rnacentral:rRNA from 1 species